CUAGAGACCGGCGCACGGGUGCGUAACGCGUAUGCAACUUGCCCUACUGAAAAGGAUAGCCCUUCGAAAGGAGGAUUAAUACUUUAUAACAGAUUUAAUGGCAUCAUGAAUUUUUGAAAGAUUUAUCGCAGUAGGAUAGGCAUGCGUAAGAUUAGUUAGUUGGUGAGGUAACGGCUCACCAAGACGAUGAUCUUUAGGGGGCCUGAGAGGGUGAACCCCCACACUGGUACUGAGACACGGACCAGACUCCUACGGGAGGCAGCAGUGAGGAAUAUUGGACAAUGGGUGGAAGCCUGAUCCAGCCAUCCCGCGUGUAGGAUGACGGCCUUAUGGGUUGUAAACUACUUUUAUCUGGGGAUAAACCUACUUACGUGUAAGUAGCUGAAGGUACCAGAAGAAUAAGCACCGGCUAACUCCGUGCCAGCAGCCGCGGUAAUACGGAGGGUGCAAGCGUUAUCCGGAUUUAUUGGGUUUAAAGGGUCCGUAGGCGGAUUAAUCAGUCAGUGGUGAAAUCUCAUAGCUUAACUAUGAAACUGCCAUUGAUACUGUUAGUCUUGAGUGAUGUUGAA
rnacentral:rRNA from 1 species